AGUGCGACAAGUGUGAAUACCGGGGAGAGAAACUGGCGCUGCGGGUUCACCGUUCAAAAACACAUCGAGACAGUGCUCGUAAUAAGCAGAUAUGCAAGGAGGUUUCGGACGGGGAGCCUUGCACGGAAACCUUCUGGUCGGUGAUCGGUCUCAGAGAGCAUCUCGCCAAACGGCAUGGAAUUGAUGCGGCGACCCACUCGCUGACAGAGGAGUUUAGUUCCGUGGAUGAAUUUCAGGCUUGGAAGGCCCAGUACGAGGCAGCCAAUGGGGUGGUGUACAACAUCGCCUCCAGCCGACCCCGGAGCGGUACAACGGCCCGCUACUUGUGCUCCCGGUCCGGCGUGUACGCACCGGCAGGAACCGGGAAGAGACGGCU